AUUAGUUGAGUUGGUGUUCGUCCGGCGAGGCUCGUCUGUCCACUGGUCUGGCGACAGAUCGUGGGGGGAGUGUUUAACGGACACCCAAAAGUAACGGAUUUAUUUGUGCUUUGAUACGUCACAUAGACGUCACGUGAUUGACUGGAUUUUUGAUUUUCCAAACCGACUGCUUUCGGAGCGCGCCAUUGGUUGGCCAGCAGGGGGCGGAGCCCGCACGUCCGAGGACGUUCUGGGGGGGAAAAAACGAUUUUAAUUACUCAAGGACUUUGUUGACGGUGGCGCUGUCCUUGUUGAGGAACUUGGCCUUGACGGUGGGACGCUGCUCCUUCAUGAACAGCAUGAAGGCGUUUGGAGGCUUCUUGAUGUAAGGCCUGUCGUCGUUGUUCCCUGUCCUCCUCUUUCUCCUGCAACACACGGGAAAACAGCGUGAGCGUGAGUCGCCUCCGUGUGGACGUGUGAGCUCAGCUCUUUCGUCAUCAUCCUCUAUGUCAAGUCCUGGCACAUGCAUGAUUGGAAAGUACCAUACCAGAAUCUGUGCAAGGAGAGCAAAGGAUGGAAAAUCACUGAUGCCACCACGAGCUAUUACGGUCCCAGCACCUCAACUCCUCCUAAGAGGCAGUGGAAGUUUGAAGUUCCUUGGCGUAGCCCAGUCGAUCGAGCUGGAUUCGGCUGCGUAUCUGGCAACCUCAGUCAGAGAGGGAAGGAGGGACUCCAGAAUUUUGACCGUGAUUGCAGUACCAUUUCUGGCCACAUUAUUACAUAUGGCUCCUUUUUUUAAAAGUUGAAUAUAAACAAAAAUGAUGGUCUUUGGAACAUGCACAUCUAGUACACAAUUACAGAUACAGUUGGAUGGAGUGGAUAUCA